rnacentral:rRNA from 1 species
GGCUCAGAUUGAACGCUGGCGGCAUGCCUUACACAUGCAAGUCGAACGGUAACGCGGGGCAACCUGGCGACGAGUGGCGAACGGGUGAGUAAUACAUCGGAACGUGCCCAGUAGUGGGGGAUAGCCCGGCGAAAGCCGGAUUAAUACCGCAUACGACCUAUGGGUGAAAGCGGGGGACCGCAAGGCCUCGCGCUAUUGGAGCGGCCGAUGUCAGAUUAGGUAGUUGGCGGGGUAAAAGCCCACCAAGCCUGCGAUCAGUAGCUGGUCUGAGAGGAUGAUCAGCCACACUGGAACUGAGACACGGUCCAGACUCCUACGGGAGGCAGCAGUAAGGAAUAUUGCUCAAUGGCCGAAAGGCUGAAGCAGCAACGCCGCGUGGAGGAUGAAAUACUUUAGUAUGUAAACUCCUGUAAGAGGGGAAAAAUAUACAGCUAUGCUGUGUUGAUUGUACCCUCAGAGUAAGCACCGGCUAACUACGUG